CAGACUCUAAACAAACCCGGGUAGGUGGAGGUCGUUAGCCGUGGUAGGCAAUUCACCUAGGAGAGCAAACUCUAAACAAACCCGGGCAGGUGGAGGUCGUUAGCCAUGGUAGGCAAUUCACCUAGGAGAGCAAACUCUAAACAAACCCGGGCAGGUGGAGGUCGUUAGCCAUGGUAGGCAAUUCACCUAGGAGAGCAAACUCUAAACAAACCCGGGCAGGUGGAGGUCGUUAGCCAUGGUAGGCAAUUCACCUAGGAGAGCAAACUCUAAACAAACCCGGGCAGGUGGAGGUCGUUAGCCGUGGUAGGCAAUUCACCUAGGAGAGCAAACUCCGAACAACAAACCCGGGCAGGUGGAGGUCGUUAGCCGUGGUAGGCAAUUCACCUAGGAGAGCAAACUCUAAACAAACCCGGGCAGGUGGAGGUCGUUAGCCGUGGUAGGCAAUUCACCUAGGAGAGCAAACUCCGAACAACAAACCCGGGCAGGUGGAGGUCGUUAGCCGUGGUAGGCAAUUCACCUAGGAGAGCAAACUCCGAACAACAA